UUCGUUACUGAAGCCGGAAAUGAAAGAUGCGCACGUGUUGUGAUUGAACAGUGUCCCUGCAAACACGCUACACCAGGAUUUGUGCACGUCGACUAAAUGUUGCUGCUGUUACCUCAUCUAUUCUCUUAUUCAUUUGAGGACGGUUUUUAAAAUGUCUUUGUCAUUUGACUUUGUUUACUCCUGGAGGGAUUUUGGACCGACUCACGUCACCACAGGGGCGCGCGUGAGAGGCCUGCACGGCCCAGGUGUUUUCCUCAGGUGAACACCGGAGACAAGCUAACAGCUAACAGGAAUGUCUCUGUUGAGCAGAUACAAGCCAGAGUGCUGCCCUGCUCUGUUCUGCCUGAUAAAGUCUGCUGAUUUGGUGGAACAUAUGACUGAUUCUUGCCUGGUGGAACAAAUGACAUCAUUGACUGCCGGCAUGGUGCCAGCACAUUAGGUCGAAGACACGGAGAAGAGAAAUGCGGCACUUUCCAAGAACAUGAACUUGGCACAUUCAACCCUUUUGGCUUCAUCUGAAUAAAAUGCGUAAACACUUUUUCUUACUGGAAACUAAUUUUGUAUACUGCUAUUAUGUAACCUGUUGGCCUUUUUGAUAUUAUAGUUAAGGCGGCAAAAGAAAUGACCAUACGCUGCACAGAAAUGUUGAGUCUGAUUCUUGUAUGUAUUUUCCUUACACAGUACCCAAGUCAUUUGCUGGAA